AUGAAGCACUCGGCAGAGAAUCGCGGGAUCAAGGGCUUUGACGGAGGUGACGCCGUCGACCCGACCUUGCUGCUCACAGAAGAGUGCGACGUGCUCAUCCCGGCAGCUCUGGGAGGAGUCAUAAACAAGGACAAUGCUGAUGCCAUCAAAGCAAAGUACAUCAUCGAGGCUGUUAACCACCCAACAGACCUCGAGGCCACGAGAUUCGGGCAAAGAAGGGCGUGCUGA
rnacentral:rRNA from 1 species